rnacentral:rRNA from 1 species
CCUACGGGAGGCAGCAGUGGGGAAUAUUGGGCAAUGGGCGCAAGCCUGACCCAGCAACGCCGCGUGAAGGAAGAAGGCUUUCGGGUUGUAAACUUCUUUUAAGGGGGAAGAGCAGAAGACGGUACCCCUUGAAUAAGCCAUGGCUAACUACGUGCCAGCAGCCGCGGUAAUACGUAGGUGGCAAGCGUUGUCCGGAUUUACUGGGUGUAAAGGGCGUGCAGCCGGGAAGACAAGUCAGAUGUGAAAUCCACGGGCUCAACCGGUGAACUGCAUUUGAAACUGUUUCCCUUGAGUGUCGGAGAGGUAAUCGGAAUUCCUUGUGUAGCGGUGAAAUGCGUAGAUAUAAGGAAGAACACCAGUGGCGAAGGCGGAUUACUGGACGAUAACUGACGGUGAGGCGCGAAAGCGUGGGGAGCAAACAGGAUUAGAUACCCGUGUAGUC